UGGGGAAUAUUGGGCAAUGGAGGAAACUCUGACCCAGCAACGCCGCGUGAAGGAUGAAGGCCCUCGGGUUGUAAACUUCUGUAUUAUGGGAAGAAGAUAGUGACGGUACCAUAAUAGAAAGCUUCGGCAAACUACGUGCCAGCAGCCGCGGUAAGACGUAGGAAGCAAGCGUUGUCCGGAAUGACUGGGCGUAAAGGGUGCGUAGGCGGUUUUUUAAGUCUGAUGUGAAAUCCUGUGGCUCAACCACAGAACUGCAUCAGAUACUGGGAAGCUAGAGUGCGGAAGAGGUUGACGGAAUUACUAGUGUAGCGGUAGAAUGCGUAGAUAUUAGUAAGAAGACCAGAGGCGAAGGCGGUCAACUGGGACGUAACUGACGCUGAGGCACGAAAGCGUGGGGAGCAAACAGG
rnacentral:rRNA from 1 species